rnacentral:lncRNA from 1 species
AAAGGCAGCAUGAUUCACAGACUGGAGGGUGACAGUGACCAGAGCAAGUUUAACCUUUUAAAGAGGAAGGAUCUGUUGCUUGGCUACCAGGCAACAAGGAAGGCUACUCAGAGAGGGGUCCCCACAAGGGAUGAGGGACAAGUUGCCUAACCCUGUGGCAGACGGCUCUGCUUCUCUUCAUGGGCUAUGGAUCUGGAAAGCUCCUGGGUGCAUUGAGGAGUAGCUCACCUAGCAGCCAAGACCUAUUCCCUGCCCCAGUGCCCCAGUGCCCCAGAAACAGGCCAAGCCCCAGACUCUCCUGGCAUAGAUACCGGCUCUGGUCCAGCCUCACACCAUCAG